rnacentral:sRNA from 2 species
CAGAUUAUUACCGCCAUUCCGAUCAUGGCGGGUUAGCGAUCAUCGACCGGAAACCCGCCCUAGAGGCGGGUUUC